UACGAGUGGUGCAAACGUUAUUCGGAAUUACUGGGCUUAAAGGGUGCGUAGGCUGCCAUGAAGGUCUGAUGUGAAAUACCACGGCUCAACCGUGGAACGGCGUUGGAAACCACAUGGCUGGAAUGAGACAGAGGUGAGCGGAACUGAUGGUGGAGCGGUGAAAUGCGUUGAUAUCAUCAGGAACACCGGUGGCGAAAGCGGCUCACUGGGUCUUUAUUGACGCUGAUGCACGAAAGCCAGGGGAGCAAACGGG
rnacentral:rRNA from 1 species